UUGUUUUGAAAAUUAAAUGAGUUAAUAUAAAUAAAACACUGACUACCUAACACAUAGCAAGUGCUGUGAGUGCUGUACAGGCACUAGCUCUCACUUUCCCUUCUCAUAUCAAACAGAGAGAUGAGCAAUUGCAAAUUUGUAUUGGAAUGUUGUACCAUCAAAUUUUUCAUGUCUCUUCUACAAUUUCACCAAUAGUUUUAUUUUAUUACUGUUGAACAUUCGGACUCCAGAGCAGAUACAAUCUCAAGCUCUCAGUGGCAUUUAUUAACCAUCUGUCAUCCAUGUCAUAGAACCAUGGACAUAGGGUUAUCUCUAGAUAAAAUUACAUCUAGAUGCCCAAAGGUCCCAAAUGGGCAUAUGAAGAUGAAUGUGUUGAUGUAGCUGAGUCUUCUGGAUUCUGGGGCUUGAGACCUUCCCACUGGAAAUGAUGGAUGACUUACCCUGUAUCCUGUUAUGGAAUAUGAGUCUCAUUAAGAUAGGGAGUGGCAGUUCCUAGGAGCACCGCACAGUCAAGCCUUGAGUAAGGUUGGGUGUGAAGAGCAUGCACCUGGUAAAUUCAUACCCCUAGGUAACCCUGCGGGCCACAACCAAGUUCUUCCAGUCAGAUAGUCAUGGAGAUGCCACUAGAGGGAGCAGUAUGGACAUAGCCAUAAAUAUUGUUAAAAUUGGUGAAAGUGGGUUCAUCUCAGCCUGGAUUUGGAAACUCUUUAAGGAAGUGCAAGAACUGCUGAAGAGUAAGAAAGACUGAGGAACCUGGAAAGGAAAGUCCUUUGAGAGAAAUAAUAAGGUGAUAGCUGUCAUUUGCGAAGCACUUAUUAAGGGGCAGGUAUGAUUUAAGUGCAGUUAAUCUUCACAGUUACCUGAAGAAGGGCCUUACUGACUUCAUUUAACAGACAAACCGGUGGCUUGGAGGACCUCAUCCAGGGUUACACAGCCUUUAAGUUGAAGAUAUGGUGUCUAAUCCAAGGCUAUCUGAAUUCAAAGACUUCUUUUACUCAAAUUCUGGUGUAAACCAAGUUUGGAGGUUUCACACUGUGCCUGUGAACUUCUCAACCUGUACCUCACACUCACUGCUCCAAAUCUACUCUCCUUGACUAUUUCUCAGCAAGAAAGCGCUGAGCACCUUGGCAAGGAAUUCCAGGGCACUGCUGUGGCCCAGUGUGGAAGAGAGGUGCUGAAGUUAUGGGAAUACAUGGGCUGGUUCAUGGAGAGCAGAUACAGUGAGAAGACAGGAGGCACCUGGACUUGGGACAAUCAACAUUUGAAGGGAGGAUCUUGAAGAAAACUUUGAAGGGGAUUCCUGAGAGGUAGAGGGAAAAAAUGAUGUUACUGAGACAAGAAUGCAAGAGAGUCAAAUACUGUCAAGGUGCUACUAAGAUGGGAACCAAAAAGUGUUCGUGAGAUUUGUUAACUUUUGUGAAAUUAUAGGGAACAUGAAUGUGGUAGUGUAAGGGUAGAUUGCUCCUUGAAGUUUUAACAGCUAAACUUUUCCAAAGGGAGAUUAUGGCAUGCUUAUGUUGAGUAUUACAUCCAGUUCAGUACUUCAUAGUUUACAAGGAAGAAUUUGGGAAUGCUUCCGAAGAGAGUCACAUGGAUGGCUAUAUCAUCAUAAAAUAAGACCUUGAAGGUAUUAAGACAGCCAUUUUCAAAUAUAAGGGGUGCUGCAUCUCAGAAGAGGGUUAUUAUUAUUAUGAUUUUGGGUACCAAAGAUCAAACUUGGGACCUUGCGCUUGCAAGGCAGGGAGCGGAACCACUGAGCUAAAUUUUCAGCC